rnacentral:rRNA from 1 species
UACGUAGGGGGCGAGCGUUGUCCGGAGUUACUGGGCGUAAAGGGCACGCAGGCGGUGCGGCGCGUUUCGCGUGACAGCGGAGGGCUUAACUCUCCGAGGAUGCGAAAGACGGCGGCACCUGAGGGCCAGAGAGGGACACGGAAUUCCGGGUGGAGUGGUGAAAUGCGUAGAGAUCCGAAGGAACACCGAAGGCGAAGGCAGUGUCCUGGCUGGUGACUGACGCUGAGGUGCGAAAGCUAGGGGAGCGAACGGG